ACGCAGGGCUCGGCCUUCGCCUCUCGGCUCGGGAGAGUCCUUGAGUACGGAGACCGGCUAGGAGGGUUGCAGCUGCCUCUUUUUGAAAGUUGGGUUGGGCCCCAAGAGUGACUUCCGACAGACCUUUCCACUCCCACCGUCUGUGGCCUGAGGGCCUUCCCUUCUCCUCCCGCCCACCCCUCUGGAUGUUUCGGGGAGUUAGAAGGGAGCUGGAUUGAGAGACUGUGUUAGGGGCGGGGGUAUGGAACGUAGUGGAAAGGGCAGAAAUUUGGAUCUCAGUUCGCGCCCACCCCGCAGGCGCCUCCCGCGAGCCGGGCCCUCUGUGAGUGAGACAAGCUCCCCUUCCUUUACGCGCCUCACCUGGCGCGUGGGGAGAGGUCGGCAGCCCUCCGCCGCAGAACCUCCGGAAGGGAUGUCCUCUGCCCUGCGCCUCUGGCCGGGGCUGUGGUCCCUCCAGGCCGUCGAGGGGAUGCUGAGGCCGGUCCCCAGAGGAGCAUGACUUGGCUGGUCCGGAGGAGCUCUGAGGGCAUGGGCAAUCUUGGCUCGCUGCAACCUCAGCUUCCAGAGUUCAAGCGAGUCUCCUGCUUCAGCCUCAUGAGUAGCUGGGACUACAGAUGCGUGCCACUACGUCCGUCUGAUGUUUGUAUUUUUAGUAGAGACAGGGUUUCACCAUGUUGGUCAGGCUGCUCUCGAACUCCAGAUCUCGUGAUCCGCCCGCCUGGGCCUACUAAAGUGCUGGGAUUACAGGCGUGAGCUAGAUCUGACUUUCUAGUGUCCUAGCCUUGGCCCGAUGGACAUGUCAUUUCUCUCAGCUCGUUUCUGUCCCCUAAAGUGAGAAUAUUGCCUGGGAAGAUUACAUUAGACGAUGUAUAUGCGAAGACACUUGAUAGCUGGUAUUGUCAUGAUUCUGAUUAGUUCACUACUGCUACUUUCCCUGUGGCCUAGGCUUUGCCUAUUUCCAGUGGGCGAGCUAGCUAGAUCCUCCUCCCUUAAAUAAGCCAGUGUUUUUAAGACAGAAUACUACUUGCAUAGUGGACAAUAAUAUCUUAAAGAACUGAGCAGGAUGAAAAGAAUUUGAUAGAAAGCAGGUUUGAGGAGCACAUUGGAGGUUGGCAGGUUUCGAGGCUGCUUGAGAGGACUUGGGCCGAUCUGGGCUGGGCUUGGACGUGACCCUGGCACCCAGGCAGGUGGAUCCCAGCUGGGGCUUCCAUUCACGACUUUCUGGUCCCUGGCAGGACAGAGCGGGAUGCCACCAGCUUGUCCAAAGGGAAGUUCCAGGAGCUCCUGGUGGGCAUCGUUGUGGAGAAUGACGCUGGCCGCGGCGAGAUCAACGAGUUGAAGCAGGUGGAAGGGGAGGCUUCGUGCAGCAGCCGCAAAGGAAAGCUGAUUUUCUUCUAUGAGUGGAACAUCAAACUGGGCUGGAAAGGCAUCGUUAAAGAAUCUGGAGUGAAGCACAAGGGAUUGAUUGAAAUACCCAAUCUUUCUGAGGAAAAUGAAGUAGAUGACACUGAGAAUUUACAACGGGAAUGAUUUUACCAACGAAAGCUAUGGCAACCCAGGAAUUGACUGUCAAAAGAAAACUGAGUGGGAAUACCCUGCAGGUAUGAGCUCUGUUGGCCAAAAUGUAGGGAAGGGGUAAAGGAAGUGUUUGAGUCAGGGCUCCGAAUGGCCGUGUUGAUGGAGAACUGAGGACAGCGAGGGCCUUCUUCCGCCUUUGAGUCUCCCGUGAGUCCUCUAAGAUCUCCCAUUUUGUUGUGCAAAUGAUAAAAUGAGACUUUGAUUCUUGAUGGAAGGGAUUGUUACAGACACGCCUUUCUUUGGGAUAAAUACCUGACUCAAGAGUGUCCUAAGGGCAGUGUUCUUUGGUAGGCCACAGAACCAGAUGACUUUCAAGAUCCACAUAGCAUAAUAAAAGAAACUUCUUUGCUCACUUUUGGACUGGGAGUUUAGAUCUGUUCUUGGAAUGGGUGUUCUGUGUGUAAUGGACACCCUUUAGCUUUAGCUGCAGUUGUCUUUCACCUGCUCACGGCUGUAUCUGGAAGUCCAGCUAGGAUGAGGGGUAUUCAGUCAUAUAUGACCUGGGAACAGAGCUGAAGAGCUGUAGGAACAGUGAGCUCUGGUUCCAAAGUAAAGACCAAGACUGGUGGUGCUAAAAAGGCUUUUCAUGCUGUUUGUAUGUGUGUCUGGAAUAGGCAGUAUGGAAUUUGGGACAUUUGAUGUUUUACUGAGAAGACUAUUGUAAUCCAAGCAGCUUUCUCUCUUGUUAUGCUAAUCAUUCCCUGGAACCUCUUCCCUUCUCCAGGUUCAGGCCUCAUCUCCAGUGGCACUGGGUGUAAGGAUUCCCACUGUGGCUCUUCACAUGAUGGAACUGUUUGACACAACUGUAGAGCAGCUGUAUAGCAUCUUCACUGUAAAGGAGGUAAGUAACUCCCUAAGCUAGCAUGUUAAGUGCUGACAUUGGGAGAAAAUACAUUACAAAGAACAGGAGCUGGUUUUUGGUUUUCCUUGUGGCUGUGUUUUUGAUUGAAGGGAUGUGGGAUGGUGGUGACAGAAGUCUGAGCAUAGUUUCUGAAUAAUUGGAGGGGAGAUGGGCAUUCUUUGGGACUAUGUCCGCAUUACAUUGAGUUUUCUCCCUCUAGGAAGAGAGAGUUUGUGUUUUAUUUUCUGUAAGUAAAAGCUACAUGUUUAGGAUUUUUAAACCAUAUUAAUUGUUAUAUUUUGUAUUUCAUAAUUAUAUUAUGUGUUAGUGUGUACUGGAAUAACAUGUUUUAUUUGGUUAGUUGGUGCAAAAGUUUUCUAAAUCUACUGCUGUAUUAGAAACUGAAAAGGGAGGGAAAUUCCAGAUGUUUGAUGGGAACAUCACUGGUGAAUAUCUAGGAUUGGUAAGUAGACUCAAGGUUGAAGAAGUAAGGUGGGAUUAACUCUUAAUAUUACUUUUUGUAUAUGCUGUUUUUAGCACCGAAAUCACGAGGGUCUGUGUUGCCUCAACCUUAACAGCAGCCCUCUGUUCUGGUUACUAUUACUGUACUUAAAACAUUAUUAUAUAUUCCUGCUGUCCUUGAUGUUACUGCUGUUCUGAGACAUUUUGGCAAUAAAGACAAUUAUCAGUGGUGCUGAUGUAUAAACUGGAAGAAGGACCGUAUGUUGUUCAUUGAUUCUUCUAGGAGUUUCAAUGAAAGGAUUUUUCUGUGUUGUAUUGUGGGAAGUCUUAAAAGAUUUUCAGUGGAAUUUCCCCUCUCUUUUCAGUUAACAAAUAAGAAGAUCAUCAUGAAAUGGAGAUGUGGGAACUGGCCAGAAGGUAUGUUACUAAUUACUGCCCUUCAUAUUAAAGGUCCCAAAACACUAAGGCUAGGUUUUUCGUAUGGAUAAAUUUUCCUUUUCAUAAUGCAGUAAUAAGGUUCCUAUUUUUUUUCUUAGAACACUAUGCCAUGGUUGCACUGAAUUUUGUGCCUACUCUAGGGCAAACAGAAUUACAAUUGAAGGAGUUCCUAUCUAUCUGUAAAGAAGAGAACAUGAAAUUCUGUUGGCAGAAGCAGCAUUUUGAAGAAAUAAAAGGUUCACUGCAGCUGACCCCCCUAAAUGGUUGAAUUAAAAUUUAUUAUAAGGCAUUACUUUUUGUAAGCGGAAAAAGUGUCACAUUUACCUCUUCCCUAUCUUUUGUUUAAAAGGACUGUCUUUAUUUUAUAUUGGAUGAAAUCUAUGAACAUAUAUACAAUGUAAAGCAUUGUUUGACUCUUUAUUAUAACUAGACACUGCAUUGAUUUAAAAGUAGCAAACAACCUGAAAUUAAGUAUUAACCUGACCUUCCAUCGAUAUUCCUCUGGAAAUAGGUAAGUCCUGAGUGCAGAUAGUUGAUGUUUCCCAAGCUGAAGCUUGUCCUAUAGCAAGCUUGCUUGCAGCUGUACUUUUAGUUCAAGAUGACAAAAAAUAAAUGGCAUGUUGACACUAUUCCUUUAUUUUACUUUAGGGUUUUUAAGGUGUGUAGAUCUUAGGUCGUAAAACAGUGGUAUAUUGCAUUCAAAAGCAUGUUGAGGUGAGGGCAAAUUGGCUGUGUUUUGCUCCACAUCUCCCUGCACAUCUCCCUGCUGUGGUUUUGCACUUCGGUGUGGAGAGGAUUGAGAAGUCUGUGGGGACACAUUAGUUCUGUGGACUGCUGGUAACACUUCCAGUGAAACAGCAUAUAAUGGAUAAAUGUUUCCCCCCUCUUUCACGGUUUUCUCACUACUUUCACCUGAGAAGACUGAAGCAACGUAUGUAAACAAAUGAAAAGUCAUCACAAUCAGUUUAAUUAAGUGCACAGAAUAGCAAUCAAUCAAUCAGUCAUGUCAAUAAAAAUAAA
ensembl:lncRNA AHSA2P activator of HSP90 ATPase homolog 2, pseudogene